AGGACGAACGCUGGCGGCGUGCUUAACACAUGCAAGUCGAGCGGAAAGGCCCUUCGGGGUACUCGAGCGGCGAACGGGUGAGUAACACGUGGGCAACCUGCCCCUAGCUCUGGGAUAACUCCGGGAAACCGGUGCUAAUACCGGAUAUGACCUCAUUUGGCAUCCUUUGAGGUGGAAAGAUUUAUUGGCUAGGGAUGGGCCCGCGGCCUAUCAGCUUGUUGGUGGGGUAAUGGCCUACCAAGGCGACGACGGGUAGCCGGCCUGAGAGGGCGACCGGCCACACUGGGACUGAGACACGGCCCAGACUCCUACGGGAGGCAGCAGUGGGGAAUAUUGCGCAAUGGGCGAAAGCCUGACGCAGCGACGCCGCGUGAGGGAUGACGGCCUUCGGGUUGUAAACCGUCUUUCAGCAGGGACGAAGCGAAAGUGACGGUACCUGCAGAAGAAGCGCCGGCCAACUACGCGCCAGCAGCCGC
rnacentral:rRNA from 1 species